CGCACGAGACAGAGGGAAGCUGCGCCUCACGGGUGCCACAAAAUGGCGGCAGUUGAUGCACAUUGUGACGGAGGCAGUUGUGAGAACCCUCACGGCUGUGGGAGGGAUGGUGUUGAUUUUUAGUGUUUUGGCAUCUUGCUGCUACUAAUGAACUUUAUCUUUACAAAGUACUACCUACAGAUGAAACUCCCUUGUGAAACUUCAUUUAAGAGCGAGCACAAACACAGCACGAGAAAUCCAGCAAAUGCUCCAGGGUUGGAUGCAGCCAGGGUGAGAUGUAACCACGUGGCACAAAGGAAUAUGAGGAGAGGGCCAGACAAACUGGAAGUAGCUGUCUUGCACGGCUGGCAGGGGUGCAGCGAGGAAUCAUGAUUAAAAGUGGUUCAAAGAGCUGAUUGGAAAGGGGACCAGGAUACCUCCCCAGGCAGCUGUGGGCAAGAUGGUUACCAGGUAGGGUAAUUACCUUGUCAGUACCGUGCUGAACAGUCCUGAGGAGGUGAGUAUAGAAAGGCCAGUGGUGACUUUGGCUGUCAUAGUCAGUAGCAUUAAGGACCAUAACGAAAAAUGGCCACACUGAUAAGGAGAGAUUCUAGAAAUACAGGGAGAAAGAAACAUCAAGCGCAGGCUAGAGAGGAGAAAGGGAUACAAAGAUGCUGUGGUCAGUGUCAUAACCAUGGUAUCACUAAAGAAGAAUAAUCUGAGCUUGUUUUUGGCCAUGUUGUAUAUAAAAGGCUUGAAGAAUAUCUGAAAAAAAGAUAGAAUCAGGUUAGGAUACAGAACUCAAUAAAAGACCAACUAAAACAUGAUCAAUUUCCUUGUGAAUGCUUCAUGUGAACUGCAUUUGAGGCAUGUGAGUAGGUAAAAUUUUGGGGAGAAGAGGGCCUCGUUGGACCUUACAGAAGUAAGAAUCCAAUCCACUAGGGAAACUUUCAUAGAAUCAUAGAAUAUCCUGAGUUGGAAGGGACCCUUAAGGAUCAUCAAGUCCAACUCUUGACACCGCACAGGUCUACCCAAAAGUUCAGACCAUGUGACUAAGCGCACAG